rnacentral:rRNA from 1 species
UACGGAGGGUGCAAGCGUUAUCCGGAUUCACUGGGUUUAAAGGGUGCGUAGGUGGGCAGGUAAGUCAGUGGUGAAAUCUCCGAGCUUAACUCGGAAACUGCCGUUGAUACUAUUUGUCUUGAAUAUUGUGGAGGUAAGCGGAAUAUGUCAUGUAGCGGUGAAAUGCUUAGAUAUGACAUAGAACACCAAUUGCGAAGGCAGCUUACUACACAACGAUUGACGCUGAGGCACGAAAGCGUGGGGGAUCAAAACAGGG